AGAGUUUGAUCAGUGGCUCAGGACGAACGCUGGCGGCGUGCUUAACACAUGCAAGUCGAACGGUGACCCAGGGCUUGCCCUGGUGAUCAGUGGCGAACGGGUGAGUAACACGUGGGCAACCUGCCCCUGACUUCGGGAUAACUCCUCGAAAGAGGAGCUAAUACCGGAUACGACCACUUCGGACAUCCCGAUGGUGGUGGAAAGUUUUUCGGUCAGGGAUGGGCCCGCGGCCUAUCAGCUAGUUGGUGGGGUAAUGGCCUACCAAGGCGACGACGGGUAGCCGGCCUGAGAGGGCGACCGGCCACACUGGGACUGAGACACGGCCCAGACUCCUACGGGAGGCAGCAGUGGGGAAUAUUGCGCAAUGGGCGAAAGCCUGACGCAGCGACGCCGCGUGAGGGAUGAAGGCCUUCGGGUUGUAAACCUCUUUCAGCAGGGACGAAGCGAAAGUGACGGUACCUGCAGAAGAAGCACCGGCUAACUACGUG
rnacentral:rRNA from 1 species